rnacentral:rRNA from 1 species
CCUACGGGUGGCAGCAGUAGGGAAUUUUCCACAAUGGGCGAAAGCUUGACGGAGCGACGCCGCGUGCGGGAUGAAGGUCUUCGGAUCGUAAACCGCUGUUGUUAGAGAAGAAAAAAUGUGAUAGUAAAUGUUUAAGUCUUGACGGUACCUUAUUAGAAAGUGACGGCUAACUAUGUGCCAGCAGCCGCGGUAAUACGUAGGUCACAAGCGUUAUCCGGAAUUAUUGGGCGUAAAGGGUUUGUAGGCGGUUUAUAAAGUCUAGAGUUAAAGCCUGAGGCUAAACCGCAGUAUGCUUUGGAUACUGGUUAACUUGAGUGAAAUAGAGGUAAACGGAAUUCGUAGUGAAGCGGUGGAAUGCGUAGAUAUUAGGAAGAACACCAAUGGCGAAGGCAGUUCACUGGACAGAAACUGACGCUGAAGAACGAAAGCGUGGGGAGCAAACAGGAUUAGAUACCCCAGUAGUC